CUUUGCCACCCUAUGGACUACAGCCUGCCAGGCUCCUCUGUCCAUGGGAUUCUCCAGGCAAGAAUAUUCGAGUGGGUUGCCAUGCCCUUCUCCAGGGUAAUCUUUCUAACCCAGGGAUUGAACCUGCAUCUCCUGCACUGGUCCUGCUCUCAGCAGAAAUUUGGAGCCUCCUGAGUGACCAGCAUUAAUGCCCCACUUCCCCUCUUGCACAACUCCCAGCUUCUCGACUGCCCAGUGAUGGAAUUAUUGAUUGAUGUCAGGAGCAGUGGAGCACCACUGGCAGAAGAACCUGCCUCCCUGCUCCUUCAAAGGCCACAGGCCCAUGAGAACCAUUCACUGUAGCCUGAGCCACAUGCCUAGAGGCCACAGCAGUGCACAGGAAAGCGAGGGGAAGUGGAAACGUGCGAGCAGACUGCUCAAAGCAACGGGCUCACCACCGGAAAAAAAAAAUAAAAAUAAAC